CCCAGACUCCUACGGGAGGCAGCAGUGGGGAAUAUUGCACAAUGGGGGGAACCCUGAUGCAGCGACGCCGCGUGGGUGAAGAAGUCAUUCGUGACGUAAAGCUCUAUCAGCAAGGAAGAAAUUGACGGUACCUGAGUAAGAAGCUCCGGCUAAAUACGUGCCAGCAGCCGCGGUAAUACGUAUGGAGCAAGCGUUAUCCGGAUUUACUGGGUGUAAAGGGAGCGUAGGCGGCCUGCCAAGUCUGAUGUGAAAUACCGGGGCUCAACCCCGGGGCUGCAUUGGAAACUGGCAGGCUGGAGUGUCGGAGAGGCAGGCGGAAUCCCUAGUGUAGCGGUGAAAUGCGUAGAUAUUAGGAGGAACACCAGUGGCGAAGGCGGCUUACUGGACUGUAACUGACGUUGAGGCUCGAAAGCGUGGGGAGCAAACAGGAUUAGAUACCCGAGUA
rnacentral:rRNA from 1 species